rnacentral:rRNA from 1 species
UACAGAGGUCUCAAGCGUUGUUCGGAUUCAUUGGGCGUAAAGGGUGCGUAGGUGGCAUGGUAAGUCGGAUGCGAAAUCCCGGGGCUCAACCCCGGAACUGCAUUCGAUACUGCUGCGCUAGAGUACUGGAGAGGAGAUUGGAAUUUACGGUGUAGCAGUGAAAUGCGUAGAUAUCGUAAGGAAGACCAGUGGCGAAGGCGGAUCUCUGGACAGUUACUGACACUGAGGCACGAAGGCCAGGGGAGCAAACGGG